rnacentral:tRNA from 1 species
AAGAGUGUAAUAUAAAGGUAGUAUAUUGAUCUUCAAAAUCAAUCGUAGGUGUUCAAUUCGCCUCAUUCUUG